rnacentral:rRNA from 1 species
UUGAUGGCGACCGGCGCACGGGUGAGUAACGCGUAUCCAACCUGCCCUUUACUAUGGGACAGCCCGUCGAAAGGCGGAUUAAUACCGUAUGUUGUCAUGUUGAUGCAUAUUUUCAUGACCAAAGGCUUCGGCCGGUAAAGGAUGGGGAUGCGUCUGAUUAGCUUGCCGGCGGGGUAACGGCCCACCGGGGCGACGAUCAGUAGGGGUUCUGAGAGGAAGGUCCCCCACAUUGGAACUGAGACACGGUCCAAACUCCUACGGGAGGCAGCAG